AUGUUGUUCCAUAUUGGUCUGGAGAUGGUAUUCCAGCAGCAAAGGCACAAAAUAAAGAUACUGCUUCAGAAGUGUUUACUCUGCACUAAGUACACAGUUCCAUGGCCGAUCCAUCUUGUGAAGCUUCAGAAUCUCAGAAUGUUGACUUGCUUGCUAUGCUGCAUUCUGCAGAGAAACCUAAAGCUCAUGCUGGAUUGCCACCAUGGUCAAACUACCCCAAAGACAGAAAUCUUCACGUGCAUCUCACUCAAGGGCCACUUCAUAUGCAUGAAAAUCAGCAGAAUUCUCACUCAAGGACUACUUCUGUUUAACAACAAAACUUCUGCCACAGAACCAGCCACCUCUAGCUCAUUUGCCACCUAA
rnacentral:rRNA from 1 species